GAUGAAGAACGUAGUGAAAUGCGAUAAGUAAUGUGAAUUGCAGAUUUCAGUGAAUCAUCGAAUCUUUGAACGCACCUUGCACCCUUUGGCAUUCCGAAGGGUAUGCUCGUUUGAGUGUCAUUGUACUCUCACUCUCCCGAUACUUUUGGAUCGGGAGUGGUGGACUUGGGUGCUGCUGCUUAACUGUGGCUCGCCUUAAAUGAAGUAGUGCAACUCUCGGUUGGACAUAGUACGGCGUGAUAAGUGUCUUCGCCGGCGCCUCAUUCGAGGGUGGCCGAUCGGGAGCUCUGUGCUUCAAACUGUCUUCGGACAACAUCUGACAACUUGACCUCAAAUCGAGUAGGACUACCCGCUGAACUUAAGCAUAUCAAUAAGCGGAGGA
rnacentral:misc_RNA from 1 species